rnacentral:rRNA from 1 species
AGUGAACGCUGGCGGUAGGCCUAACACAUGCAAGUCGAACGGCAGCACAGUAAGAGCUUGCUCUUACGGGUGGCGAGUGGCGGACGGGUGAGGAAUACAUCGGAAUCUACUUUUUCGUGGGGGAUAACGUAGGGAAACUUACGCUAAUACCGCAUACGACCUACGGGUGAAAGCAGGGGAUCUUCGGACCUUGCGCGAUUGAAUGAGCCGAUGUCGGAUUAGCUAGUUGGCGGGGUAAAGGCCCACCAAGGCGACGAUCCGUAGCUGGUCUGAGAGGAUGAUCAGCCACACUGGAACUGAGACACGGUCCAGACUCCUACGGGAGGCAGCAGUGGGGAAUAUUGGCCAAUGGGCGCAAGCCUGCUCCAGCCAUACCGCGUGGGUGAAGAAGGCCUUCGGGUUGUAAAGCCCUUUUGUUGGGAAAGAAAAGCAGCAGGUUAAUACCCCGCUGUUCUGACGGUACCCAAAGAAUAAGCACCGGCUAACUUCGUG